GGACCAAGGAGUCUAGCAUGUGCGCGAGUCAUUGGGACUCUAACGAAACCUAAAGGCGCAAUGAAAGUGAAGGUCCGCCCUGCGCGGACCGAGGGAGGAUGGGGGGUUCCGAGGAACCUCCUCGCACUCCCGGGGCGUCUCGUUCUCAUCGCGAGAAGAGGCGCACCCAGAGCGUACACGCUGGGACCCGAAAGAUGGUGAACUAUGCCUGGUCAGGACGAAGUCAGGGGAAACCCUGAUGGAGGUCCGUAGCGAUUCUGACGUGCAAAUCGAUCGUCGGAACUGGGUAUAGGGGCGAAAGACUAAUCGAACCAUCUAGUAGCUGGUUCCCUCCGAAGUUUCCCUCAGGAUAGCUGGCGCUCGCUUCUCGCGAGUCUCAUUCGGUAAAGCGAAUGAUUAGAGGCAUUGGGGUCGAAACGGCCUCAACCUAUUCUCAAACUUUAAAUGGGUGAGAUCUCCGGCUUGCUUGAACUGUGAAGCCGCGAGAUAUCGGAUCAGAGUGCCAAGUGGGCCACUUUUGGUAAGCAGAACUGGCGCUGUGGGAUGAACCAAACGCCGAGUUAAAGCGCCUAAAUCGACGCUUAUGGGAUACCAUGAAAGGCGUUGGUAACUUAAGACAGCAGGACGGUGGCCAUGGAAGUCGGA
rnacentral:rRNA from 2 species